AACGAACGCUGGCGGCAGGCUUAACACAUGCAAGUCGAGCGCAUCCUUCGGGGUGAGCGGCAGACGGGUGAGUAACGCGUGGGAAUCUACCUUUUGCUACGGAAUAGCUCCGGGAAACUGGAAUUAAUACCGUAUGUGCCCUUAGGGGGAAAGAUUUAUCGGCAAGAGAUGAGCCCGCGUUGGAUUAGCUAGUUGGUGGGGUAAAGGCCUACCAAGGCGACGAUCCAUAGCUGGUCUGAGAGGAUGAUCAGCCACAUUGGGACUGAGGCACGGCCCAAACUCCUACGGGAGGCAGCAGUGGGGAAUAUUGGACAAUGGGCGCAAGCCUGAUCCAGCCAUGCCGCGUGAGUGAUGAAGGCCUUAGGGUUGUAAAGCUCUUUCACCGGAGAAGAUAAUGACGGUAUCCGGAGAAGAAGCCCCGGCUAACUUCGUG
rnacentral:rRNA from 1 species